AUUGAACGCUGGCGGCAGGCCUAACACAUGCAAGUCGAGCGAGCGGCGGACGGGUGAGUAAUGUCUGGGAAACUGCCUGAUGGAGGGGGAUAACUACUGGGAACGGUAGCUAAUACCGCAUACCAUCAGCUUUUCCCAGAUGGGAUUAGCUAGUGGGUGGGGUAACGGCUCACCUAGGCGACGAUCCCUAGCUGGCCUGAGAGGAUGACCAGCCACACUGGAACUGAGACACGGUCCAGACUCCUACGGGAGGCAGCAGUGGGGAAUCUUGCACAAUGGGCGCAAGCCUGAUACAGCCAUGCCGCGUGUGUGAAGAAGGCCUUCGGGUUGUAAAGCACUUUUAGCGGGGAGGCGUUACCCGCAGAAGAAGCACCGGCUAACUCCGUGCCAGCAGCCGCGGUAAUAC
rnacentral:rRNA from 1 species